rnacentral:rRNA from 1 species
UACAGAGGGGGCUAGCGUUAUUCGGAAUUAUUGGGCGUAAAGGGCGCGUAGGCGGCCAUGCGUGUCUUCCGUGAAAUCCCUCGGCUUAACUGAGGACGUGCGGAAGAAACUGCAAGGCUUGAGUCCGGGAGAGGGGGGUGGAAUUCCCAGUGUAGCGGUGAAAUGCGUAGAUAUUGGGAGGAACACCGGUGGCGAAGGCGGCCCCCUGGACCGGUACUGACGCUGAGGAGCGAAAGCCAGGGGAGCAAACGGG